AGAUGGCGACCGGCGCACGGGUGAGUAACACGUAUCCAACCUGCCGAUAACUCGGGGAUAGCCUUUCGAAAGAAAGAUUAAUACCCGAUGGUAUAAUCAGACCGCAUGGUUUGAUUAUUAAAGAAUUUCGGUUAUCGAUGGGGAUGCGUUCCAUUAGGCAGUUGGUGAGGUAACGGCUCACCAAACCUUCGAUGGAUAGGGGUUCUGAGAGGAAGGUCCCCCACAUUGGAACUGAGACACGGCCA
rnacentral:rRNA from 1 species